GGGAAUCUUGCGCAUGGACGAAGUCUGNGCAGCAACGCCGCGUGGGGGAUGAAGCUUCUCGGAGUGUAAACCCCUUUCGACCCGGACGAAUGCCCGCAAGGGUUUGACGGUACGGGUAUAAGAAGCCCCGGCUAACUACGUGCCAGCAGCCGCGGUAAAACGUAGGGGGCCAGCGUUGCUCGGAAUUACUUGGGCGUAAAGGGUCCGUAGGCGGUGUGACAAGUCGGUAGUGAAAUCUCCGGGCUUAACCCGGAGGCUGCUGCCGAAACUGUUGUGCUAGAGUGUGAGAGAGGCGAGUGGAAUUACGGGUGUAGCNGGUGAAAUGCGUAGAUAUCCGUAGGAACAUCCGAGGCGAAAGCGGCUCGCUGGAUCACAACUGACGCUGAGGGACGAAAGCUAGGGGAGCAAACAGGAUUAGAUACCCUGGUAGUCCUAGCCCUAAACCAUCAGGACUUGGGGUUUGCCCUGUACGGGGCAAGUCCCGUAGCUAACGCGUUAAGUCCUGCGCCUGGGGAGUACGGUCGCAAGGCUGAAACUCAAAGAAAUUGACGGA
rnacentral:rRNA from 1 species